rnacentral:tRNA from 1 species
GCCUGGGUGGCUCAGUCAGUUAAGCGUCUGACUUCAGCUCAGGUCAUGAUCUCGCGGUCCGUGAGUUUGAGCCCCACAUCGGGCU